rnacentral:miRNA from 10 species
GUCGGUCGGUCGGUCGGUCGGUCGGUCGGUCGGUCGGUCGGUCGGUCGGUCGGUCGGUCGGUGGGUCUGUCGGUCUGUCUGUCU